UUCGUGUUGUGAUAUGUUUUGAGGCCCAGUGACCACAAACCCUAAUCCGUGUGGUUGAUUGUGUUCUUUGUUUCUCUUUGAUCCGCGGAGACGGUGACGAUCUGGUUUCUGUUACGGAAAGAUCUUCAAUCGCGUUGUUCCAUCAGCGAUAUAUUUAUAAAUAGGUUUUUUCCGACUUGAGGUCCGGGACGUGCUCAUCCGAGGCGAGACUGUUCCAAUUCUGAGAGACUAUGAAUGUAAAACGUGGUGGGGAGCUUAUGUGGAUGGAUUUUAUCAUGGUGGAUGUUAACGUGAACUCUAACCUGUUUAUGAAUUCUGAUAGUGUUUCCGGGUUCUUUGCAGGAUUUGUUAUCCGCCGUACGAGUAGUUGUGUUGCUGAAGUCAACCUGAUGAUCUGUUUCGUCCCUGUUUUGUCUUCUCUUUGGGUAUCUUCUGAUAUCUUUAGGUUUUUCUCUGCUUUUUGGCUAUUUUGUCUUUCGUUGUUUUCAGAGAGUUCCAAUUGAUGUUGAUUUUGAGUUCCUCCGUUUUUCUGCUUCUUUGUAGACAUCAGUUGUCUACCAUUUAUAAACCCAGCUUUAUAAAAAAGAAGAAAUCAACCUGAUGAAUCCUUUGUUAAGUUUUUGCUUGCGUUGUGUGAGAUUCUUCAAACGCUUUCAUUUACAGAUUCAUCACAUUUAACCUCUUCUUAACUCCAACAACAUGAUCUAGCCAUCAAUGUGAGCUUCUUUCUUGCGAGGCGGUUUACCUUUAAUUAUAAAAAGUCCGUUAGAUGUUCUCCACUGUUGAGGUUAGGUUUUUGCGAUCCUGGGAGGCAAGGAUUGGCAGGUGCAGUGUUGAUGGAGUUAAGAAGAGGUUAUUUCACAUUUUUCAUCCCUUGGAAAUCGUCCUCAUCAGAAAGCUCAUUGUAUUAGCUAUUUUUGUCGAAGUUUGUUUUGGGACUUUGCUCUUAUGUUUUCAUUUAUUAGAGAUCUGAUGGUGAUUAAUCCUACUUAAUUCUGUGCAUAAAGACAAUUUCUUGAAUUCUAAAUUGUUAUAUAUUUUUGACUCCAUCGCUUUUCUGAGAAUGGAUCUAUUAAUACUUGAUUAUUUGUGUUCAAACUGUAGGCCAAUCACCAAAAAGUUCGAGAGAAGCCACUUCUAUCUGUUUUAGUAUUUUUCCAGGCAGCCCGGAACAUUGUGCUUCUUGCUGUUCCAGCCCUGUUUUUCACGGUGCUGUUUCUGUAGCCAGUGUGGCUGCAUCUGUAUGUUGCUGCAAUCGCAGCCUUCACCACCACGUCUUCAAUCUCUAGAAGGGAUGAGUAGAUAAACUGACAUGGUCGUUACUUCCGCUUCGACCCUUGCGGAUGCUCAGUGUAUGGAGGCUGUGGAAGUGAUUAGAGAUGAGAGAGAAUUUGGCCUCUGUUGUCAGCGCCAGUGUAGCCAUCAAUGUACUUCUACCGGAGAUAUCUGACACUCACUGCCAGUGAAGCCACAAGUUUAGUAGCUUCAAAAAUCUGUAUUUUGGUUAUCUUAGGUAUUUGAAAGAUUGAUUCUGAUGAAGAAACUCAAUUAUUUUGAUAAUCUCCAUUAUCGUCCGAAACGUAAAAGUUCACCCUAUA